CCCUUAGAUGUUCUGGGCUGCACGCGCGCUACACUGAUGCACUCAACGAGUUUACGACCUUGCCCGAUAGGGUUGGGUAAUCUUUUUAAAAUGCAUCGUGAUGGGGAUAGAUUAUUGCAAUUAUUAAUCUUCAACGAGGAAUUCCUAGUAAGCGCGAGUCAUCAGCUCGUGCUGAUUACGUCCCUGCCCUUUGUACACACCGCCCGUCGCUCCUACCGAUUGAGUGCUCAGGUGAAUAAUUCGGACUGCAGCAAUGUUUGGAUCCCGAACGUUGCAGCGGAAAGUUUAGUGAACCUUAUCACUUAGAGGAAGUAAAAGUCGUAACA
rnacentral:rRNA from 1 species